rnacentral:rRNA from 1 species
GAUCAUGGCUCAGGAUGAACGCUGGCGGCGUGCCUAACACAUGCAAGUCGAACGAAGCGCCUGGCCCCGACUUCUUCGGAACGAGGAGCCUUGCGACUGAGUGGCGGACGGGUGAGUAACGCGUGGGCAACCUGCCUUGCACUGGGGGAUAACAGCCAGAAAUGGCUGCUAAUACCGCAUAAGACCGAAGCGCCGCAUGGCGCGGCGGCCAAAGCCCCGGCGGUGCAAGAUGGGCCCG